rnacentral:lncRNA from 1 species
UCUUUAAGCGUCCCCUUCGCCGUCUUCCUGCGGAACGGGCUCGGGAACAACGUCUUCCUGAUCUGAAAUGGUCAUAUAAGGGAUGAGCUACACCAGCCCAGUAAAGACAUCACACUAUCUCACCGUCACGGAAGUAAAGGUGGGUAGAAAACAAAAAUGACCAAUGGAGCAUAAUUUAUAACGAACUCGUUUAUUAACAUAAAAA